GGAGAGGUGGCAGAGUGGCCGAUCGCGGCGGCUUGCUAAGCCGUUGUAGGGGUCACACCCUACCGCGGGUUCGAAUCCCGCCCUCUCCG
rnacentral:tRNA from 1 species